CUACGGGGCGCUGCAGUGAGGAAUAUUGCACAAUGGGGGGAACCCUGAUGCAGCAACGCCGCGUGGAGGAUGACGCAUUUCGGUGUGUAAACUCCUUUUAUAUGUCAAGAAAAUGACGGUAGCAUAUGAAUAAGCACCGGCUAACUCCGUGCCAGCAGCCGCGGUAAUACGGAGGGUGCAAGCGUUACUCGGUAUCACUGGGCGUAAAGGACGCGUAGGCGGGUUGGAAAGUCAGGUGUGAAAUCCUACAGCUUAACUGUAGAACUGCACUUGAAACUUCUAAUCUAGAGUAUGGGAGGGGGAGAUGGGAUUAGUGGUGUAGGGGUAAAAUCCGUAGAUAUCACUAGGAAUACCUAAAGCGAAGGCGAUCUCCUGGAACAUUACUGACGCUAAGGCGUGAAAGCGUGGGGAGCAAACAGGAUUAGAUACCCCGGUAGUC
rnacentral:rRNA from 1 species